rnacentral:rRNA from 1 species
UAGGGAAUCUUCCGCAAUGGACGCAAGUCUGACGGAGCAACGCCGCGUGAGUGAAGAAGGGUUUCGGCUCGUAAAACUCUGUUGUCAGGGAAGAACGCCGGUGGGAGUAACUGUCCAUCGGGUGACGGUACCUGACCAGAAAGCCACGGCUAACUACGUGCCAGCAGCCGCGGUAAUACGUAGGUGGCAAGCGUUAUCCGGAAUUAUUGGGCGUAAAGCGCGCGUAGGCGGUUCGUUAAGUCUGAUGUGAAAGCCCCCGGCUCAACCGGGGAGGGUCAUUGGAAACUGGCGAACUUGAGUGCAGAAGAGGAGAGUGGAAUUCCAUGUGUAGCGGUGAAAUGCGCAGAGAUAUGGAGGAACACCAGUGGCGAAGGCGGCUCUCUGGUCUGCAACUGACGCUGAUGUGCGAAAGCGUGGGGAUCAAACAGGAUUAGAUACCCUGGUAGUCCACGCCGUAAACGAUGAGUGCUAAGUGUUAGGGGGUUUCCGCCCCUUAGUGCUGCAGCAAA